GAUGAACGCUGGCGGCGUGCUUAACACGUGCAAGUCGAACGAAGCACCUCUCCCGAAGAUUGACACAGCUUGCUGUAGAUUGAUUCAUUUGAGGUGACUGAGUGGCGGACGGGUGAGUAACGCGUGGGUAACCUGCCUCAUAGAGGGGGACAACAGUUGGAAACGACUGCUAAUACCGCAUAGUAAGAAGAAUUCGCAUGUUUUCUUCUUGAAAGAUUUAUCGCUAUGAGAUGGACCCGCGUCUGAUUAGCUAGUUGGUAAGGUAACGGCUUACCAAGGCGACGAUCAGUAGCCGGCUUGAGAGAGUGAACGGCCACAUUGGGACUGAGACACGGCCCAAACUCCUACGGGAGGCAGCAGUGGGGAAUAUUGCACAAUGGGGGAAACCCUGAUGCAGCGACGCCGCGUGAGUGAAGAAGUAUUUCGGUAUGUAAAGCUCUAUCAGCAGGGAAGAUAAUGACGGUACCUGACUAAGAAGCCCCGGCUAACUACGUG
rnacentral:rRNA from 1 species